UUCAAUAAUAAGUCUCUUUUUGCGAAUAAGUAAGUACCUUUUUAUUCAAAUAAAAUUUUCUAUUUAUGAUUCGUUUGUACUCUAGAAUUUUUAAGGGAAUAGCUAGGCUGCUUCAAUUUCAUUUCCAUUGUAGGUUAAAAUCAUCUUCAAAUAUCUUCCUCGUAUAUUAUUUUCGGAUUUUAUUUUUUAAAAUUUUAUAAUUUAAAUCUUAUUAUUAACCUCAUCAAAAAAAAACCUAUUGGAAUAAUGUUAAUUAGAAAUAAAUCUAAAUGAAUGGAGUUGGAGCAUAUUUGUUAUUAUUUAUUAUUUUGAAGUAGGAGGGGUGUCAUGAAUUUAGAAUGGGAAAGGGAGCCCUAGGAUGCCGAACCAGAAGGAACAGGCCUAAGGUUAUUGGGCUGAUUGAUUGAUGGAGGGUGAGGCGGACCAAGUUAGCAACAUUUAGUAGCGGGCUGAUUCCUACAGCAAGCCCAAGGGACUGAUUUAAUGACUGGAUUGCUGAUGACUCAUUUUCCUCUCAUGCUAGCUGUUAAAAAAGUGAAGUUUGUUACAACAGAAUUUCUAUUAUAUUCUCAAGGCAUGGAAUGAAAUCAGUAGUUUCCCUUUCUCUC
rnacentral:lncRNA from 1 species